rnacentral:rRNA from 1 species
AAUCUUCCACAAUGGACGCAAGUCUGAUGGAGCAACGCCGCGUGAGUGAAGAAGGGUUUCGGCUCGUAAAGCUCUGUUGUUAAAGAAGAACGUGGGUAAGAGUAACUGUUUACCCAGUGACGGUAUUUAACCAGAAAGCCACGGCUAACUACGUGCCAGCAGCCGCGGUAAUACGUAGGUGGCAAGCGUUAUCCGGAUUUAUUGGGCGUAAAGCGAGCGCAGGCGGUCUUUUAAGUCUAAUGUGAAAGCCUUCGGCUCAACCGAAGAAGUGCAUUGGAAACUGGGAGACUUGAGUGCAGAAGAGGACAGUGGAACUCCAUGUGUA